AGGAUCAGAAUCAGAACAGAAGGUGAAGUAGCUGAAACACAGACUGACUAACUUAUCCAAAUUAUGAGAGCAAAUUACUGAGACCAGAACUUUAGUCUCCUGAUUCCUGAUCCUUUGUUGCUGUUUCCUGUAUAACACACUGCCUUUGUGAUUGCUGGAAAGACAUAAACAGAGAAGGCCGUGUAUGACUAUCAGUGGAAAUGUACAUCAUCUCUUCAUCAUCAUCAUCAUCAUGUAGCAAUGCUAGAUGUUGUGAAUACUAGAUGCUGAUUCUCAAUCCUGGAUAUGUUGACCUCACGGUGGACAUUUGGUGAUGUCUGGGGACAUUUUUGAUUGUCCAUCAUCAUCAGAGCUGACAUUUGAGUGUUUAGUAAACAUACUGGUGAAGGGUUCACAUUAUGAAAUAUCAGAAAGUAAGAUUGGAAAGGAAUGAGCAUCUCAAGAAGAAAAGAUAAGACUAAACAGAAUAGUAACAGUCUCGAUCUAAAUGUUGUAGAUGUUAAAUGACAAAUAAAAGCAAGUGCUACAAAAAUUUCAAAGAUGGUCAGAUUCCGAUGGCUUAAGGGUAGUUAGGCAGGGCUUGGUAGAAGAGGUGAGUUGGAGCUGAGAAUUCAAGAGCUCCACAGGAUUUGGAAAGAGAGGAGAGGUCAAUCUAGAUAAAGAAGGCAGUAUAGGGCACAGAGUUAAAUAAACCAAGUGGCUUUCAGGACAGCGAAGAAACAAAACUAGCUAGAGUAGAGGACUUGAGUAGAGGGGAAAUAAGACUGAAAAGGCACGAUGGCUCCAGAUUGUGCAGGAACCCAGGCAAACUGAAUUUACU
rnacentral:lncRNA from 10 species